AACGAACGCUGGCGGCAUGCCUAACACAUGCGAGUCGAACGAGACCUUCGGGUCUAGUGGCGCACGGGUGCGUAACGCAUGGGAACCUGCCCUUAGGUUCGGAAUAACUCCCCGAAAGGGGUGCUAAUACCGGAUAAUGUCUUCGGACCAAAGAUUUAUCGCCUUUGGAUGGGCCCGCGUUGGAUUAGCUAGUUGGUAGGGUAAAAGCCUACCAAGGCGACGAUCCAUAGCUGGUCUGAGAGGAUGAUCAGCCACACUGGGACUGAGACACGGCCCAGACUCCUACGGGAGGCAGCAGUGGGGAAUAUUGGACAAUGGGCGAAAGCCUGAUCCAGCAAUGCCGCGUGAGUGAUGAAGGCCUUAGGGUUGUAAAGCUCUUUUACCCGGGAUGAUAAUGACAGUACCGGGAGAAUAAGCUCCGGCUAACUCCGUG
rnacentral:rRNA from 1 species